rnacentral:ncRNA from 1 species
AUCCGCUAAGGAGUGUGUAACAACUCACCUGCCGAAGCAACUAGCCCUGAAAAUGGAUGGCGCUGUAGCGUCGUGCCUAUACUCUGCCGUCAAUGACAAAGAUGAUUAAUAAGCUGUGUGUUAAUUAAUGUUGUAGUCUUGACUGCAGUAUUGUUAAUUACAAAGUUUAUUACUAUAUCAUCAUUAUGUCUUGAUGAGUAAGAGGGCCGCGGCGAUGAGCGCAGAAGGGUCUGGGCGAGAGCCCGCCUGGAGCCGUCGCUGGUGCAGAUCUUGGUGGUAGUAGCAAAUACUCCAGCGAGGCCCUGGAGGACUGAUGUGGAGAAGGGUUUCUUGUGAACAGCUGUUGCACAAGAGUCAGUCGAUCCUAAGCCCUAGGAGAAAUCCGAAGCGAUAUGCGCCCGUUAAAUAAUUUUUUUUUAUUAAAUGUUUGGGGCUAUCUGGGCGAAAGGGAAUCCGGUUCCUAUUCCGGAACCCGGCAGCGGAACCGUUCCAAAUCGGGCUCUCAUUUGAGAACUCGUCGGGGUAACCCGACAAGACCCGGAGACGCCGUAGGGAAAUUCGGAGAGAGUUGUCUCUUCUCUAUAAGCGUUCGAGUUCCCUGGAAACCUCUAGCAGGGAGAUAGGGUUUGGAACGCGAAGAGCACCGCAGUUACGGCGGUGUCCGGAUCUUCCCUACGGACCUUGAAAAUCCGGGAGAGGGCCACGAGGAACCCCGCGCCGGCUCGUACCCAUAUCCGCAGCAGGUCUCCAAGGUCAAUAGCCUCUAGUCGAUAGAAUAAUGUAGGUAAGGGAAGUCGGCAAAUCCGAUCCGUAACUUCGGGAUAAGGAUUGGCUCUGAGGACUGAGUCGUGCCGGGCUUGGUCGGGAAGUGGAGCGGUGUCAACGUGCCGGGCCUGGGCGAGGAGAAAAUUGCGUUUCUGCGCUUUUGGAUCCGAGCUCGGUCCCGUGCCUUGGCCACCCACGGAUCUUCCUUGCUGCGAGUCGUUAGCCGUGUGGUUACCGCUGGCUUUUGCUAGCUGGUCGACCUGGCUUACGAUCUCUUCGGCCGACAUUCAACAGUCAACUCAAAACUGGCACGGACAAAGGGAAUUCCGACUGUCUAAUUAAAACAAAGCAUUGGCGAUGGCCCCAACGGG